GAUGAACGCUGGCGGCGUGCCUAAUACAUGCAAGUCGAGCGAACAGACGAGGAGCUUGCUCCUCUGACGUUAGCGGCGGACGGGUGAGUAACACGUGGAUAACCUACCUAUAAGACUGGGAUAACUUCGGGAAACCGGAGCUAAUACCGGAUAAUAUAUUGAACCGCAUGGUUCAAUAGUGAAAGACGGUUUUGCUGUCACUUAUAGAUGGAUCCGCGCCGCAUUAGCUAGUUGGUAAGGUAACGGCUUACCAAGGCAACGAUGCGUAGCCGACCUGAGAGGGUGAUCGGCCACACUGGAACUGAGACACGGUCCAGACUCCUACGGGAGGCAGCAGUAGGGAAUCUUCCGCAAUGGGCGAAAGCCUGACGGAGCAACGCCGCGUGAGUGAUGAAGGUCUUCGGAUCGUAAAACUCUGUUCUUAGGGAAGAACAAAUGUGUAAGUAACUAUGCACGUCUUGACGGUACCUAAUCAGAAAGCCACGGCUAACUACGUG
rnacentral:rRNA from 1 species